rnacentral:rRNA from 1 species
GUGGAGGCAGCAGUGGGGAAUUUUGCACAAUGGGCGCAAGCCUGAUGCAGCAACGCCGCGUGUGUGAUGAAGGUCUUCGGAUCGUAAAGCACUUUCGACCGGGACGAAACAGCGACACCCAACACGUGUCGCCCUGACGGUACCGGGAGAAGAAGCACCGGCUAACUCUGUGCCAGCAGCCGCGGUAAUACAGAGGGUGCAAGCGUUGUUCGGAAUUAUUGGGCGUAAAGCGCGUGUAGGCGGCUUUGCAAGUCGGGUGUGAAAGCCCUCAGCUCAACUGAGGAAGUGCGCCCGAAACUGCAGAGCUUGAGUACCGGAGAGGAUGGCGGAAUUCCCCAAGUAGAGGUGAAAUUCGUAGAUAUGGGGAGGAACACCGGUGGCGAAGGCGGCCAUCUGGACGGUCACUGACGCUGAGACGCGAAAGCGUGGGUAGCAAACAGGAUUAGAUACCCCGGUAGC